AGACGUGUAUUCAUAUCAUUUGAGUUAUAAGUCAAAGUGUGUAAACAUGAAAGUGUAUUUGUUGCUCUGUUUGAUGCUUGUUGCACUUGCAUCGACGGCUUUCGCUGGUCCAAUUAGAGCAGGUGCAUGUCCACCUGGCUACAUACUCCAUGCGGGGUUUUGCUUUCCAGACGAUUAUGAAGAUGAUACAUAAUGCUCAAGAUGUUAAAUAGUUCUGAAAGCAAGUUUUUUUAUUAAAAUACUUUUGAUGCCCA